rnacentral:rRNA from 1 species
CCUACGGGAGGCAGCAGUGAGGAAUAUUGGUCAAUGGGCGCGAGCCUGAACCAGCCAAGUCGCGUGAGGGAGGACGGCCCUACGGGUUGUAAACCUCUUUUGCCGGGGAGCAACGGGCGUCACGUGUGGCGCCCCUGAGAGUACCCGGAGAAAAAGCAUCGGCUAACUCCGUGCCAGCAGCCGCGGUAAUACGGAGGAUGCGAGCGUUAUCCGGAUUUAUUGGGUUUAAAGGGUGCGCAGGCGGAAGAUCAAGUCAGCGGUAAAAUUGAGAGGCUCAACCUCUUCGAGCCGUUGAAACUGGUGUUCUUGAGUGAGUGAGAAGUAUGCGGAAUGCGUGGUGUAGCGGUGAAAUGCAUAGAUAUCACGCAGAACUCCGAUUGCGAAGGCAGCAUACCGGCGCUCAACUGACGCUCAUGCACGAAAGUGUGGGUAUCGAACAGGAUUAGAUACCCCUGUAGUC